GACCGCUGCUUUGCAGCCAAGGCCACACGGACAGCCGGGUCGAAUGCCGA
rnacentral:sRNA from 1 species